rnacentral:lncRNA from 1 species
GGAUGCAGAAUAGAGCAGCAAGCGUGGGGUAACUUACCAAAGAGGAUUUGAUCGAGGCUUCUGUUGGGAACAUAUUCAUAAACUAGGAGGCUUUCCGGGCCUUCAAUGCUGCAACCAAGAAGGCGGACCAAGUUCUUGUGUUGGAUUCCAGUGAUCAAAUUUACCUCAUUGAAGAAGUCAUCCACCCACUGACGAGUGUUGAACACCAGUCUUUUUACUGCAACAACUCUUCCAUCAGGGAGGAUCCCCUUGUAUACAGAACCAGCUCCUCCUUGGCCUAAUUUCCUCGACUCAUCAAAGAAGUUCGUAGCCUUCUCAAGCGAUUCGUAAUUAAAAUUCAGAUUCGACUUCCUUACAAUUUCUGGAACGCCAAAGAGUUUCUUCUGGACUGAGAAUAGGCAAAGAAGAUGGAUGGCAUUAGAGAAUGUUUGAAGAGAGUUAAAACAGAAAUAUCCUCUUUAGUUUCACAUUUACCUUCUCUUUUCUUGGAUAAUUUUCUGUAUCCAACAUAAGCACCGACGAAAAGAAGUGAAGUUGCAGCAGCAACGGAUAAAGAAAUAGCAAUGAUGAUCCCAAGCUUCAACGAGUCUAUUAAAAAACACACAGAUCAUCCUUUGCUGACAAGAAAGCGGAAGCUAUAGCAAUUAAGAGGCAAAAAAUAACCUACUACAGACUACAGCUAUCCCAAUUCAGUUGAAAAAACAGAACCAGAAAACUAGAACAUCGUGCAGACUAACUUGCAAGAUCACUCGAUUCUUACCACCAUCUGUAGGGACAGUAUAAAACCUCUGGGUUGAAUAUCGCAUGAAACAUCCGGCAUUCAUAGCCCUCCCUUCCUCCCCAGGAGUGCAGUUCCUCGCCCUGAUCAUCGCAUUCGCCAAGCACUCUCUACACCCCUUCUCAUCGAGAGUGUUCCAGCACUGCGCCAGCGCAUAAACGCCAGCGACUCCUCCCCUCCUCGCCUCUCCAAAAACGGCGAACCCCAUGUUCUCCGGCGCAACCGCCGACACAUUCGUCAGCACCCGAUCGACCUUAGCGGCAAACUGCUGCCUCGCCUGCUGGUCGGCUAAAACGCUGGACUGAUUGGCGCACUUGACCAUGUCGUGCUGCGGAUCGACGGUCUCAUUAAAGAAAUUAUAGUAAUCGGACCUUAUGAAGCAACCGUCGAGAUACAACCGCCCCUUAGUAUCCAAGAUAGUGCAUCGAGAAAGUGAAGUCCUGCUCCGCGCGAAACAGAGGAUGCAAUCGUCGCGGCUCAGGUCGCCGUGGCACUGAGCCAGGGCGUAGAUUUCUGGCAACGGAGAGGUUAUGGAAUCAUUAGCCCAGCGAUCUUCAGCGACUUUCGCGAGAACUUUCAGCAUGACGUCGAGGAAGUUCGAGGGGGACGUGACGUUGGAUUUGAGGCAUAGAAUGCCCGCCUCCGAGAUUCGAGGAUCGCCGAGCGAGGGCGAAAACGAGGAGCUGAAGAGACCCAGGAAAACGCAAGCGAGGUUGAGGAUCGAAGGCCGCAUUUCACGGCUCCGACCUCAGUUCCGAAGCAAAAUCCGCCGGAGAACCGGAUUACCGCCUCGAUUUUUCUACCGGUUCGAGCUUCUCGCGGUAUCAAGCAGCGUUCAAAGGCCAUCUUGUCUUAAUGAAUGAUGACUGGACGGAAAUGAGAGUUGACAAUGGCCCGGCGCGGUUGACUUUGAUUUUAUUUUUUAUUUUUUUUGUGAAAAUUAGCGGAGAAAGAUGAGGAAUGACUGGACUGGAGUAGCUACUUCGCUUAAAAUUCUAACUAUUUAUUCCGAUUUGAAGACCGAUAAUUCGGAUGGGACCAGGCCCGACAACGUGUUGGAAACUAGGAAGUCUCUCCCGUGAGAUGAUGGACGUGGAGAGUCCGGAGACUGGGACACCCCGGUCGGGAGUUUGCUCCGUGGUGUCUCAAAUUCACGACUUUCUAAAAAGACUGAUACCAUCUUCGGUGAAGUUUUAAUUUCCUCCACAGCAUGUCUUGAUUUCGCAUUCGAAUAAAGUAGUUCGAGAACUGUUUGUAUCACUUUUGGGUAAGGAGUCUAAUCGAUACAGAAUGGAUGAGAAAAUGUGUGUGCAUCUAUGAUUUUUUUUGAGCCGGACUUUGAAAUGCUUCUUGCUUGUGAGACCAAAAAGGAAAGCUGAAGAGGUGGAGUAACUAGAUGUCGACAGGUUUGGUGUUUGAGUUACGACGUUCUCCCACUCAAGAUAAAAAGCCACUUAUGUAAUCCAUCGGCGCCAUCGUGCCCUACGCAUAUGUAUAGCGCGAUUUGCAUGCAUUCCUUAGGAUUGACCAAAUUGAAAGAAUAAGAUUUUUCUUUUCUUUUGUCGAGAUGCACAUGCAAACUCGAAAGAAUUGGUGUAAUGUGAAACAGUUAAUAUAUCAUAAUUACCUUCUAACUUAUUGAUUUAGCCUUUCAAAUGAAGAUGGGUCUAACUAAACUAGAUACGUUGAUAGGGCCAGACUUGAAAGCUUAUUCUUAACGACUUCCUUAGAUGAAGGUGUCAGGUUUUUGCCACACUCUCAACAAAUGGCACUUGAGUAUUCUCAACUCCCUCUCUAGGCAAAAGAAGGCAAGCCUUGUGAUGUAGCAGUGCUAAUUUUGAUGGUAACUUUUAUGGUUCGGUCCGGAGGGAUGAACAUGGACAAAGUGGAUAUUCAAGUCGAGACACAAAAGUGAAUAUUCAAGUCAAGACAUAAGUUGAGUUGGUACAGUACUCGAAUUAAGAGAAAGAGGGGACCUUGACUGCGAUUACUAGUGCAGGGGAUGACUUGACUAAGAAACGUGGCAAUUGAACCAGGAAUUUUGAAUAGAAAAAAGAACCAAGAAUGGAUUGCCCAUGCUGAAUUAUCACCGAAUCUCUCCCUUUAUUAUUUAUUUGUUGCUUUCUAACUUUCCAGACGAAGUAUUAGCGCACAUGAUGAGUAAUUUAUUGAAAGGAAAUGUCAGUGUUUUGAGAGCAUCUAAGCUAGUUUGAUGUAGAGAUGGUUUCUCCGCUAGUCCUUGGAGAAAGCACCAAUGUCGAAGUAAGUAUUCCCGCUAGCUCAAAAAUAAUUGCACUUCUUAAAAUUUAAGGAUGGCGAUCUUGUCUCAACCUUAUCCCUCCUAGAAAAUAGGGGUAGGCAAUCGUGUCAGUUCAAUCCAAAAGCCGAAAUGAAGAAAUCUCAUCUAUUCGAUUCCGGCCCUAUUGACAUGAGGACUAUGAUAGGUUCCCUAAUUAAAAAAAGGAAAAAAAGAAAAGAAAGGGAAGACCUUUGCCGGUUCCCAAACUAUUUUUUUUCCAUAACAUAAUAGUUAUAUUAUUAAAUAAGUUGAAAAAAAAAAAAGGUAGGUUCUCAGGUUUAGUUUUUGGCCAAUUCCUUGUUCCAAAAAUCAAGAAUGGACUCUAUUGGGUGGGUUUCAAUUUCUAGGAUAAUUACUAAAAAAAAUUUAAACCCAUUGUAUGGAUCUACCUUUUAAUUUGACCCAUUUAGUCCCAAACUUUUUUUUAUGAUUUGUUAUUGUAAUUCUUCCAAUUAAUUUUGAUUAAAAAUUGCUAUUAUAAAUGCCGAUUGUUCUAUGUGGUAAAGGCCAGCGCAUUGACACUAAUGUAAACAACUUUUUAUAUAUUUUUUGAAUUUAGAACUCACCCAUCUUGAAAUUGAUUUCUCUUAAUUGGGGGUGUUCAUUACUUUUUAGCAAGUAUUACGAUAAUUACUUUUCAGAUUUUUUUUUCCGCAUUGAAAUUAAAAUCUUGACUUUAAGCAUUUAUACAGUGGUGGGCACUCAAUUGCUUGUUGCCAUAGAGAGGUCAAAUCUUGAUCAACCAAGUCCUAUCCACCACAAGAAAUAAUUCUCAGCAUCGCAUAAUCCUAAUAUUGGAAUCCAAUAGCAUCUUUCUAUGACUAGCUUUUCUCACCGAUGUUCCUGGCUCCAUAACACUCUUCAAUCAAACUCGAGACACUGUCUCAACCAAGACCAAUUCUUAGCAUCGCCACUUUUCAACUUAGACGGCCUGGGCGCACCACUCGUGACCUUCAUUGCCCGUGGCUCUCUACAUAAAUAAUGGAUGGCGCAUGUUCUGUGCUAGUCAUAAGCGUCUGCGAUUUCUAAAUGAGGUCAGCUUUGGAAGAUCGACGGAUUUCAAUCACGUUCGAUUCGCUUUGUGACAAGGGGUCCAAGAAUCAAGCAAUCCUAAUUUCAUAGUUUCUAGGUGAAGAACUCUGUUGCGUUUGACCAUUUCCUAGCAAAUGCCGGAAUUCUGUGAGAAUCCGCUUAAAAAGUAGAGGAAUUUUGAAAAACUAAACCGGGUUCGACAAAUUAUCGAUAUUUUGACCGGAAUUCUCGUGUGCCAAUUGCUGAAUUGAUAAUGCAAGUUAUGAACGCUAAACUACCAUGUGUAAUGAGAAAAUUGCUAGCGGACCGAAGAGAUUACUGUCGCCGGAUACUAUACCGUGUUCUGUUAGGACUCGAUUGUUGCAGAACCCAAAGUGGCAGCAGCUCAAAAUGAGAGUUCUGCGAAAGCUUAUAUAGGGUCAGAAGCAGAGAGGUCUCAAUCUUACUGACCUCGUGGUUCCUGUGCAGCAAAACUUACCGUGGCUACUGCCACAGGGUCAAGCAUUUGUUGACGCAGCUCGGGGCGAGUUACAAAGUCGUCGAGCUGGACAAGGAAGGUGAGCGUCUCCUACCCUCUUGAACCGCCUGCAUAUAAUCUUGAUCUGAGUAUAUAAACCAUCUUGCUCUUGGCUAUUUGGAGGCUGAUUUUGUCGACAAAGCAAAGAAACCUUUUUUUUUUAAGCAUAUUUGCUGGUAUAGCAUUCUGUUCAUGCGUAAAAGCCAGUCAAGAAUCUCCCCCCCACAGCUGCUCGAUUAGCCCCCAAAGACUUGUAUCUUUUGAUUCUUUCAACCGUGAGUUUUGAACUGUAAUUUAUUGAUAUUUCUGCGACUCUGCAAAUGAUCGCUUUAUCUACAGGAUGAAGAACUCGUGUGGAACAUGAUCUUUUUAACACUACAUUGUUCAACCAUUUGAAUUUCCUUUUGAAGGUGACGGAGCUGUGGUUCAAUUGGCUUUGGCAGAUUGGACGGGGCUGAGAACAGUACCUAAUGUGUUCAUUAGGGGAAAUAAUAUCGGUGGCUGCAAUUGUAAAUUCUUAAUUGCGUGGCUAAUCAUAUGUCUCUCUUUUCUUUGUUGAUUUCAAGAGAAUCUCUGGUAGAGGUUAGAUGCAACGCAGGUGUUGUUUGAUGACUAAUCUUUUAAUGUCGGCUUUCCUUGCAACGCCAGAGGUCACUCAGAAACACCAAGCAGGUCAACUGGUACCUCUUCUUAGGAGCGCCGGAGCUGUGAAGACCUAAUAAAAACGGUGCUCAUAGUUCGAACCUUCGAUCGAAAGAGAGAGACACGUGUGAUGGAAGUGGAUAAACUGAGGUGUGACUUCCACUGCACAAGUAAAUGAAAGAAUUGUCUUUUGACUGCUCACACAAAUCUGGAGUGUGUAGUACAAACUUACCUUGUCAGUAGAGUUGCUAGCAUAUUAGUAGCAGCUGAAAAUCCUUAAUGCAAAAGUGGAAUGACUAUCAGAAAUUCUGGGACCGAGACUGUUUGUUUGCCGAAGUGACUAGGAACCAAUUUCACGGUGUCCGGCAAUAAAGUUUCACAAGACAUUGAUCUAGACUUCUUUAGAGAUCUGCAGUUUUAUGAUGCAGAAGAGUUAUCGUCGAGAUUAAGAUUAUUUCUUUGCUUCCGGUUCUGAUAAUUCGAGUUCAAUGCGAUGAUCCAAAAGCAAGCAGGAUCUCGUAGCAAAUAGUUCUAUAGGGAACAGUCACGAGCUUCUCCUCUCCCACUUUGCUGGAAAGCAACCUCUACGGUCCUGUCGAGGGGUGUGCAGAAAAUGAUGUGGCGCGUGCGAUCAUGAAAUAGCCCCUAAAUCCUCUUGAUCAGGGCGUGGCCAAAUCAGAAAGGGGUCUUCGCCGGGAGUUUUCCCUUCGUGGACCCAUUCCUGACUCUCGAGGUUCACCAACAAAUGCAUCCGCCAUAAUUAUAGGGGGAAGAGGUACGGUCAUACGUUCUCCGCAAAAAUCAAUGCUGUAAUAGUUCACUAUUUUGUCUACUUGGAUCUACUCAAAUAAUGAACUAAUCCUCCACUUUAGGACCAUCCGAAGCGGAUUGCAAAGAAUAAGUGACUGCAGAGUAACUUUCACACUGUUUCUUCAGCCUGGGGUCGUGCUGUGCAGUACUGGUAGACCGAUAAAAAUUGCUAGUCAAUUCACCGCAAAGGCCAGCUUCAAACCAAGAAAUAUAUAGGAAAAAGUUGAGAAGUUCAUCAAGCUGUCUAGAUGAUCAUUUCAAGAAUUCAUCCAUCCUCAUCAUGGCAAAAGAGACCAUCACUCUGAGAAAAACUGAAGUAGAAGUGCUAAUUAGAAAAUUUCCGACAAAAGAGGCAGAAUCUCAGGGUUUUGCUUUUCAUUUAUGAGAUUACAGGACAUGAAAGAAGCUAGCAUGAACUCCUACGCAAUUGUGAUUCUGUUUCCAUGAGUCACGGUACUUCCUGUGUAAAUUGAGUGGAAUUGGCAAUACUAAGAAAAAAUGGAGGAUAAAGGAAAUAAAUAAAAUAAGAAUAUGUACAUGAGUUCCUCCGACUCCAUUAAGUGGGAAACGGCCAGCAUAUGACAUGACCGAUGCACCAUGGAGCUUCUGCAAUCUCUUGCACAGCAGCCGCAUCUUCACCCUGUCUCGCUGCGCAGAUCUCCUCAUCCUGAUUUCGCAAUCGGGGUUCGAGAAACGCUCGAGCAUUACUGGCCAUUGGACUCCUUGCAAUCCUUCUCACAGGACCAUAUGCCCAUCUCAUAACGUGCGGCUGAAGAAUAAAUAGUGGUCCUCUUCAAAUGUCCGAAAAUUACAUCGCCUCCGCUGGCUCAGUUGAUACUGCCAAAACGGCUAUCUCACUGGAGGCUUAUGGUGGAACCGGAGGAAAUUUCAGAAUUUGUCAGUUGGUUUGUGAUCCCAGUAUUCGUGUUCGAGCUUCUGCUGGAGUCAUCUGGAAUUGGAUUAUUGUUGAGAAAUGGGGGUUGCAUUGGCAUGGGAACUAUGCACUCCUGAUCGUUGAGCAUCUCAACUACUUCAGACAUGGAUGGUCGUAAAUCUGGGGAAGCUUGGGUACAAAGAAGCGCGAUUUGAAUCACAUUCAAUGCCUCUGAGAUGGGAAACUUGCCUUUCAACGCAGGAUCGAUGCAUUCAGCAAGUCUAUUUGAUUUAUAUCGCUUCCAAACCUGAGAAGUACAGAAAAGUCGAAGCAAGUCAUUAGAAACUUUGCUAGUGUUCAGCAGAAAAGACAGACUACCUCCAGAUUGUGAAGGGAUGAAUUAAAUAAAGCCCUUGUGCAGCUGAAUCAUGAUAUGUAAAGCCACGAAGGGGUUCGUGAGGGUUACAAGAUUUCCAGUACAGAGAAAAGAGUAGCUGGAAAACUCUCAAUUUGAAGUUCGAGAAGAUGUUACUUGUAAGGAUUUAUUCCAACUCUAUAUCAUAGACAAGAAAUUUUUAAACACCGCAUGCAUAUUCUAGAGGUUGAAAUCAGGAGGAUAGGUAUAUGAAUCUUACUGAUUGUAGAACUGAACCUGAGGCCUGCCCAAAGAUACUGUUCUUCCUACCACUUAGAAUUUCUAGGACCAGCACGCCAAAAGCGUAAACAUCUGCUUUCUCUGUUAGUUGUCCCUUAACAAGAUACUCUGGAGCCAUAUAACCCCUGCAAAAUUAUUCUUUCAGAAGGAGAGAAAUCUGUUCUGCAGAAUCUGUAAUAGAAGAUGAAAUUGCCAAAGAGUGAAAAGAAGGGGUCAUCCCCACAAUAAGCCUUAUAUCAGAUGCUCAUCUUCUGAACUCAUAAUACAUGGCGGUUCAAAUAGCCAAUCCAGUCUUCUCUACAUGAAAAUGGCAUCUAAACUGGCUCAAUUGAAACAAAAGGAGAAAAAAAUAAAAGACCAGAAUCUUACAGUGUCCCUGCAAUACCAGUGCUGAGAUGAGAUUUUUCUGGAUCAAGACAUCGAGCAAGUCCAAAGUCAGCAAUCUUUGCUGUGAGAUCUUCGUCAAGAAGGACAUUGCUGCUUUUGAUGUCUCUGUGUAUUAUUUUCACUCCACAAGGUCCAUGGAGAAAUGCCAGCCCCUCAGCUGUUCCGGAGAUGAUAUUAACCCGCUCCUGCCAACUCAGGACAUGGGUCGCAUUCUUGACUGCAACGGCAACCAGGUCUUGUUAUCAGUUACAUUAUUGCAAUUGAGUACUUAUCAGGAAUGAGAUUAAAAAACUGCCUAGAAAAGACUAGCAAGAAAAACUACUAUUUUGGAACGAGAUGAAGCUAGCAACUAGAUUAACAUCAUAGAACAAAUUUGGAGAACCUAAAAACUAGAGGGUUUUGUUUUGGUAGAGGCCCAACUUAUGAAACCAACUCCACUAAUCUCGGAUGCAGAAUGGAGCAGCAAGUGGGGGGUAACUUACCAAAGAGGAUUUGAUCAAGGCUUCUGUUGGGAACAUAUUCAUAAACUAGGAGGCUUUCCGGGCCUUCAAUGCUGCAACCCAGAAGGCGGACCAGGUUCUUGUGUUGGAUUCCACUGAUCAAAUUUACCUCAUUGAAGAAGUCAUCCACCCACUGACGAGUGUUGAACACCAGUCUUUUUACUGCAACAACUCUUCCAUCAGGGAGGAUCCCCUCGUAUACAGAACCAG